AACGAACGCUGGCGGCAGGCCUAACACAUGCAAGUCGAGCGCCCCCUUUUAGAGGGCAGAAAUCAGAGAUCGGAAAUCAGAGAUCGGAAUUGAGCGGGCAGCGAUGCCGGCGCGCGUUCUGUAUUUUUGAUAUCUCAUUUCCGAUCUCUGCCUUCUGAGUGGGGGAGCGGCGGACGGGUGAGUAACGCGUGGAAUUUUCCNCAAGGUACGAACAACUCAGGGAAACUUGGGCUAAUACCGUAUGAUGCAGAGAUG
rnacentral:rRNA from 1 species